AUGUCUGCUGGGAUCAUGCCCCUCGUUCUGUCUGAGGCGGUGCUUCAUUUCCUGCUGUGGUGUAAGGUUCUUAGAGCAAACAAUCCUGAGGACCGGAUGCUCCUGAGUCGGGUGCAGAAGUUGGUUGGGAUAAUUUUUGCCGCUGAUUUCUCAGUCUGCAGGGUGCUAAUUUCACCUAUCUUGGGCAAACUGACCUUAGGGCAGUCAAUUCUGAUCGUGCUUCAGCAUUUCUUUGGAAGUGUCAUCGUCAUUUAUCUUGAUGAUCUCCUUAAAAAGGGAUAUGGGUUUCUUUCGAGUAUCCCCUUGUUCAGUGCCACCGACAUUUGUACAAGUAUUUUCUGGAAAGCUUUUAGCCCCUGUAUCAUAAAGCUAUACGGUGGGCAGCAUGGUGAUCAACAUGGGGAAGCUCUCACUUCCUCCCUUAUUCAUCGAUUCGUUGGUAAUGGAAACUACAAAUUGUCUUCGAUGCAUAAGGUGUACGGAUGUCGAGACCUCCCGGAGAUGGCUAGUGUGCUUUCCACGUGCGCCUUCUUUCUACUCGUCCUCAGCCUGCAAGGCUUCCAUGCCACGUUGCCACUGAGAUCCAGUGAGCUGUCCUUUGCACCCCUACUCUUCCAGGAUGUAAUGGCCAUAUUCCUAUACAUCAUCUCAGAGUUGCUGUACGUAAAGUUUGGUGAAAAGAACAAGGUGGUCAUUUUGCUGGGCAAAUGGAAGAAAUCCAGAUAUUUUGGGCAAGCACCAGUCAGUGGCUUAGCCUACUACGUUACUACACCACCAACCUUGGCUGAAGUAGGAAGACACCCAUUCCUCACACUGGUUUAUGCGCUGUGGCAGCUUCUGGGGUGUGGCCUUACGUCAUUUUCCCUUUUCAGUGUUUGUUCACAUUCAGAGCUGUACGUUGGCAGGUUGCUUGGGGAGCGACGAAAUGUAACAGUCGCCCAGCCGGACUCUGUUCCUCUGCAGCUAUGGAGGUGCUAUGUAGGCAAGGCAGCGUUUCUUGUAGGACUCUGCAUUGGUGCACUUACGCUUCUGGCAGGCCUUGCUGGCGUGGUCGGCUCUGGCACCGGGAUCAUGUUCGCCCUCACUGUCUUGUACUCGUGCUUGGAAGAGACCAGUUAUAGAGGAGGGCCAGCUGGUGCCUUUGGUUUCUAA
rnacentral:rRNA from 1 species